rnacentral:rRNA from 1 species
AGAGCGCAUAGGGGAUGCCUUGGCUCUCAGAGGCGAUGAAGGACGUGAUAAGCUGCGAUAAGCUUCGGGGAGGUGCAAAUAACCUUCGAUCCGGAGAUUUCCGAAUGGGGCAACCCAAUUUAUAGCGAUAUAAAUUACCCUACGGGGGGCGAACCCGGGGAACUGAAACAUCUAAGUACCCGGAGGAAGAGAAAAUAAUAAUGAUUUCCUGAGUAGUGGUGAGCGAAAGGGAAAGAGCCUAAACCAGCGAUGUUACGGCAUUUCUGGGGUUGUAGGACCACAAUAACUGUUACCUUUAAGAACUGGAACACUUCUGGGAAGAGUGAUCAAAGAGGGUGAAAAUCCCGUACAGGUAAUUAAACUAAACAGUAGUGGUAUCCUGAGUAGGGCGGGACCGGGGAAAUCCUGUCUGAAUCUGGCGGCACCAUCCGCUAAGGCUAAAUACUACUGAGAGACCGAUAGUGAACAAGUACUGUGAAGGAAAGGUGAAAAGUACUUCGAAUAGAAGAGUGAAAUAGAACCUGAAACUGUGCGCUUACAAGCGGUCGGAGUCCACAUUGAUGGAUGACGGCGUGCCUUUUGCAUAAUGAGCCUACGAGUUACUGAAUCUAGCAAGGUUAAUUUCUUCAGGAAAGGUACCGAAGCGAAAGCGAGUCUGAACAGGGCGCUUAAGUUAGAUUAAGUAGACGCGAAACUUAGUGAUCUACACAUGUCCAGGUUGAAGUAACGCUAAACCGUUAUGGAGGACCGAACCGGUAAAUGUUGAAAAAUUUUCGGAUGAGGUGUGUGUAGGGGUGAAAGGCUAAUCAAACUGAGAGAUAGCUCGUACUCUCCGAAAUGCCUUUAGGGGCAGCCUUGUUAAGGUAUUAUAGAGGUAAAGCUACUGAUUGGAUGCGGGGGUUUCACCGCCUACCAAAUCCUGACAAACUCUGAAUGCUAUAAUAUUAAUUAACAGGAGUGAGGCUAUGGGUGCUAAGGUCCAUUGCCGAGAGGGAAAGAACCCAGACCAUCAGCUAAGGUCCCGAAAUAUAUGUUAAGUUGAUCAAACGAUGUCAUGUUGCCUAGACAGCUAGGAUGUUGGCUUGGAAGCAGCCAUUCAUUUAAAGAGUGCGUAACAGCUCACUAGUCGAGUGACGUGGCGUGGAUAAUAAUCGGGCAUCAAACAUAUUACCGAAGCUAUGGAAUAUAUUUAUAUAUUGGUAGGAGAGCAUUCUAACGACGAAGAAGGAGUGUCGCGAGGCAUUCUGGAGUUUUUAGAAGAGAAAAUGUAGGCAUAAGUAACGAUAAUGCAGGUGAGAAACCUGCACACCGAAAGACUAAGGUUUCCCGGUCAAUGCUAAUCAGAUCGGGGUUAGUCGGGUCCUAAGGUUACCCCUGUUUAAUAGGGCAUAUCGAUGGACAGCCGGUUAAUAUUCCGGCACUAGAUAUAAGAGCGAAGUACCGACGCAGAAGUGACAAGCACGCGCACUGACGGAAUAGUGCGUUUAAGGGUGUAGAUAUAUUUUCUAUAGGCAAAUCCGUAGAGAAUGUCGAACCUGAAAGUACCAAGAGCCUUCGGGUGAUUGGAUAGUUGCUGUAAUCCGGCUGCCAAGAAAACGUGCUAAGCAUAUCUUAUAUUUACCCGUACCGCAAACCGACACAGGUAGUCGAGAAGAGAAUUCUAAGGUGCUCGAGUGAUUCAUGGCUAAGGAACUAGGCAAAAUUGUCCUGUAACUUUGGGAUAAAGGACCCCAACGUAAGUUGGGCGCAGAGAAUCGGCCCGGACGACUGUUUAUCAAAAACAUAUGGCUUUGCUAAAUAGUAAUAUGAAGUAUAAGGCCUGACACCUGCCCAGUGCCGGAAGGUUAAGAGGAGAUGUCAUCGCAAGAGAAGCAUUGAAUUGAAGCCCCGGUAAACGGCGGCCGUAACUAUAACGGUCCUAAGGUAGCGAAAUUCCUUGUCGGGUAAGUUCCGACCUGCACGAAUGGUGUAACGAUCUGGGCGCUGUCUCAGCCAUGAGCUCGGUGAAAUUGUAGUAACGGUGAAGAUGCCGUUUACCCGCAACGGGACGGAAAGACCCCGUGAACCUUCACUAUAGCUUAACAUUGAUUUUGGAUAUAUGAUGUGUAGGAUAGGUGGGAGGCUGCGAAGCAGGUACGCUAGUAUUUGUGGAGCCAUCCUUGAAAUACCACCCUUUAUCUAUUUGAAAUCUAACUCGCGAAUGCGAGGACCAUGUUUGGUGGGUAGUUUGACUGGGGUGGUCGCCUCCAAAAGAGUAACGGAGGCUUUCAAAGGUACCCUCAGCACGCUUGGUAACCGUGCGUUGAGUGCAAUAGCAAAAGGGUGCUUGACUGUGAGACAAACAAGUCGAUCAGGUAGGAAACUAGGAUAUAGUGAUCCGGUGGUUCCGCAUGGAAGGGCCAUCGCUCAAAGGAUAAAAGGUACUCCGGGGAUAACAGGCUGAUCACUCCCAAGAGCUCAUAUCGACGGAGUGGUUUGGCACCUCGAUGUCGGCUCGUCACAUCCUGGGGCUGGAGAAGGUCCCAAGGGUUCGGCUGUUCGCCGAUUAAAGUGGCACGCGAGCUGGGUUCAGAACGUCGCGAGACAGUUCGGUCCCUAUCUGUUGUGGGCGUAGAAGCUUGAGAGGACCUGACUCUAGUACGAGAGGACCGAGUUGGACGAACCUCUGGUGUACCUGUUGUGGCGCCAGCUGCAUCGCAGGGUAGCCAAGUUCGGAUGAGAUAAGUGCUGAAAGCAUCUAAGUACGAAACUCACCUCAAGAUGAGGCUUCAUUAAAGGGUCGUUAUAGACGAUGACGUUGAUAGGUUGCAGGUGUAAAGGCAGUAAUGUCAUAGCCGAGCAAUACUAAUUACCCGAAACUUGCUAGU